UACGGAGGGAGCUAGCGUUGUUCGGAAUUACUGGGCGUAAAGCGUGCGCAGGCGGUUCUCCAAGUCAGUGGUGAAAGCCCGGAGCUCAACUCCGGAACUGCCAUUGAAACUGUAGAGCUAGAGUACGAGAGAGGUGAGUGGAAUUCCCAGUGUAGAGGUGAAAUCCGUAGAUAUUGGGAAGAACACCGGUGGCGAAGGCGGCUCACUGGCUCGUAACUGACGCUCAUGCACGACAGCGUGGGGAUCAAACAGG
rnacentral:rRNA from 1 species